UACGUAGGGAGCAAGCGUUGUCCGGAAUCAUUGGGCGUAAAGCGCGCGUAGGCGGCCCUGUAAGUCCGUUGUGAAAGUCAAAGGCUCAACCUUUGAAAGCCGAUGGAUACUGCAGGGCUAGAGUCCGGAAGAGGCGAGUGGAAUUCCUGGUGUAGCGGUGGAAUGCGCAGAUAUCAGGAGGAACACCAAUAGCGAAGGCAGCUUGCUGGGACGGUACUGACGCUAAGGCGCGAAAGCGUGGGGAGCGAACAGG
rnacentral:rRNA from 1 species